AUUGCUGAGUCAACAGUGGUUUCGUUGUUCCACUGGCUGAUGGCUUAACAUUUGAUUGUCUGUAGUAUUUUUGUGAAGCAGGUAGUUUGAGCAAAAGACCUAAGGCUUUAAAGACCAGAGUUUAUCUAAUAGUGGUGUUUUCAUCACAUAUUAUUUUCUGAGUUUAUAUAAGUAUUCUAAAAUCCUUUUGCUGAGAGUCAUAAUGUUUAGACCUAGAACACACUUAGCAGUGAGCGUGCACCGUAUUUUACACCGGGAAGUCUGCGGCCUGGACACAUGAACUAACUUGCCCAAGAGCACACAACUGUAGUUUAAAUACCGCCAUU
rnacentral:lncRNA from 1 species